rnacentral:lncRNA from 1 species
GUGUGUGUUGGUCGUGCAACAUGCUUUUUCUCGUAUUUAGUUAGUUGCACAAGUUCAUCAUAUUCUAUAAGAAGUUCACAGCUCAGGAGUGCAAAAGCCAAGCUGCUUCGCCAGGAAAGGCACGAGUUUAAAGCAUCUGCAGUCACGUGUGUGUAGCAGCUAGCCACGGUUAAGGUACUCGAGGUAUGUGCGUACAUGCGCAUGUGUGAAUUCUCCGGAGUCACGGGCAUGUCGUCUGAGAGACACUGCUGUGAAGCAUCUGCAGUCACGCGUGGAGCAGCUAGCCACGGUUGAGGCACUAUAGGUAUUACAACCGGAUAACGGUAACCGAGGGAAUUACAUGACUGCAGCCUAUAAAAUAUCCCAGCAGCUCUGGAACAACGCCAUCUUCAGUUAGGUAGUUGUAAUCCUUCUAGCCCCAGCAAGCCAGCCAUGAACAAUGCGAAACACUUCACUUGUUAUAGCUUGAACAGUCUUACUCCCUAUUUCAUAGUUUCUUGCUUUGCCUGCCUUGUCUGCAAGAUAACAUAUGAAGUGAUCCUGUAUGCAAUCAUGUUGACAACACCACAUGGAUCAUCAUUUUCUUGUGAGUCAUUCUACAGUGCAUCCGUACGAUAUGGACCGUCCGUCGGAGCGAACUCGACGGUCCAGAUCCGAUGCGAUACACUGAUGUUACGUGUAUUAUAUCAGACCCGAGGGGCAUUUUCGGGAGAAAAAAAUAUUUUGAAUUAAUCGGAUUUUCCCUCCCAAAUAUUUCGAGGGUAUUCUUGGUACGAAUUUCAGGGCUAUUUUCGGUUCGAUUUUUAUCCCGUUUGCUGGUUUAUUCCACGCUGCCGCUAGGGUUUUAAUCCUCGCCAACAGGAUCUAGCCGCACGCCGCGGCCCCUCCCUCCCUCCACCCCAAUUCCCUCGCGAUCUCGCACCACCUUUUCAACGAAGAACACGAGAGAAGGCGCACUACCCUCCCCGCGGCGGCCACCGGCGAAGAUUCGGCGCCAUCCCACCUCCCAGUCCUCCAUGUGGGUGCCUAUAGCCACAAGGUUAUAGGCAACCUCUUUCCCACACCCCAAUUGGUUGUUUGCGUCAUCUACAUCACCUCUCCGCCAUGGCCGCAGCUUUGAUCUGGACAUGCAUCUCGUCUGAAGGCAAGGUGGUUGGGUAUGGAUCAUGUUCUGCGGGACUAGAUGAAGCCGGCCGCCGGCCUCGACGGCCAGCCCCAUUCGAUCAACCCCGACUGCAAGAUCUACGAAUGUUCAAUCGUUGCAUUCAUACACCUAUACAUUUCAUUCAACAUGUAUUCUUUCAAUUUGGCUGAUAUGUGAGAUUUGGAGAUCAAUAGAGAUGAUAAGCUAUUAAUUUUGGAAUGUACUAUAAACAAUUCAUAGCUUAUGUUGCUCAAUAUUUGUGAUGCUCGCUUCUUCUUGUGCAAUUGCUGGACUGGGAUCAACAGACUUGGCAUGUGCUUUAUAAGAAAAAUUAGAUUCACAUGGGAUAUCCACCGUUUGAAGAUUGGUGUUAAUUCUUAUUAUGAUGUUUUAGCCUUGUUAAAGAGAGAGUAAUGAUCCUCGCAAAAAGCAGGGAGAAAGAAAUGAGCAUUCGAUUCUUCCAUAUGUUGCAUUUCAUUCUUCCGUGUACUUGCUGUAACUGAUGAUCUCCUAACUAAAUCCAAAGUGCACGAAUCUUUCAAGUCCCCUGAUAGAUCCACCCUGAUAGAUCAAUUAUCUCCAAACUCCAUUCAAAAUUGUGUCCUAACUAAAUCCAAAAUUAUCACCUAACUAAAUCCAAAUUAUCUCCUAACUAAAUCGAAAAUAACUCCAAACUCCAUACAAAAAUAAUUAUCUCCUAACUAAAUUUAAAAUUUCUCGAAACUCAAUUCAAAAGCAUCUCCUAACUAAAUCCAAAAUAACUUUCUUUGAAUCCAAAUCUGCUGACAACUUUCUCAGGCCACGCAAGCCUAACUAAGUCCUUCAAUAUGUCCUAGCUAAAUCCGACUUAGGGCCUGUUCGGAUGUCCUCCAGCUUCACCAAAUCCACAAAUCUGGCUUCUAUUUCCCGAUGUUGGCUUCUUCCUUGGAUUGCGAUCGAUGAAAAACCGUUCAGCACGCUCACUCCAGCUUCUGGUACGUGCCAGCAGGCCAACCUGCUCAGACGGACUGGAGCCCAGCUAGCUCAAUAGUUAUGGUGGUCUUAGGCCCAGUCGGACACAGGAGGACAGUAGCUGGGCUUGGCCCAGUUCAGAGGGAAAGGCAGCGAUGCCUCCAUGUAGCUCAUCAGGAGAAUAUAACGAAGGUAGCGAACCGGUACGCAGCCAUCGAGUGACUUGGCGGUGGCACUACUCGUAAUUUAGGCCAACUCCCGCUUUCCCUUUUCCUGGAUCGCCAGAAACGCCGCUCCAGUUUUUUGUACGUGGUAUGGCCUUCGAUCCAGGAAGCUAGCUUCCCUGAGCGGAACCGUUCGGCUCAGCUCCAGUGCAGAUUUGGCGGAUCUGGAAGCUAGCCGAGUACCGAAAUGGCCCUUACACUUCCUUUGAAUCAAAAUCUUGUCACAACUUUCUGAAACCAUAAAUCCUAACUAACUACAUCAACAUGUCCUAGCUAAAUCCAACUUACACUCCCUUUCAAUCAAAAUCUCGUCACAACUUUCUGAAACCAUAAAUCCUAAACCUCAGAUGACAUAUCCUAAACCCUAAUCAAAUCCGACCCCUAUUGGUACUAUAUGCACAAGGGACCAGCAAAGAUUUGAGAUGGCUAGGCACUUACGACGAAGAGACGGCGUGAAAAAGUUGAUGCACGUCGAUGAGGAAGAUGUGGCCUCUCGGGUCGGGGAAGGUGGAGUCCGCUCGGGGAAGGAGGGGAUUAGCGGCUCGUCGGAAGAUCUGGCGCCGCGACCCGAGUGGGGUGACUUGCGAUGGAGGGGGAGGGGGGAGUAGGAGCAGGAGGAAGGAGUGACAUGGCGAGUGCGAUCGGCAACGAUCGAGGGAGCCGGGGGUGAUCGGCGGCGAUCGAGGGCGCCGGAGGCGAUCGGCGGGGAUCGAGGGCGCAGAGGUUAGGGCUCGAGAGAAGGAGAGAGGACGAACCGCUCGAACCAAAAUUCUAAAGAGUAUGCAUGAUGAUUGGACCUCUAUAAUGAAGUGUUUUAUUAAUGCAAAUAAUUUAAUCAAAAAAAUUUAGGACGGGAAUAACCCUGGAUUUAAUUGGGCCGAUUAAAGGUACAAAAAAAUUUAGGUCGAAAAUACCCUUGGGCUAAAAAAGGCCCAAUUAUUCUCAUCCGUUAGAUCGCCCAUAUAAUACACAUGCUCUGGUGUAUUAUAAUGCACCGUAAAAAUUCCCUUUCUUGUUCGCAAAGACAUCUCAAUAUCCAGAUUGUCCAAAACACAACCAGUACUUCAACCAUCAUUUUAGUUUUCUCUCUUUUAUUAAACUUAGGCAUCCACACACGAAACAUAUCAUGGAGGUUGAAACCGGAAUCAACUUCCCUCAUUCUAUACACACAUGCAUUGCCCUUUGAUGUACUUGUUCCUUAAAAUGGUUUGCCAAACUGGCAAACACCACCAGUCGUAUAGAAUUUCCACCACCAUUUAGGCGGCACUCAAACCUCUCUCGUCCAUGAGGGCACGACCUUGAGGAUUGGCCAGCGCCCGCAAAGAUCCCUGAUGGGCUAGUUGCCUGAUGUCACGAGCCACUCCGUUCACCACGCGAGCCUUGGUCGCCCAACGUGCUAUACUUUCAUUCUUGCAGUUUUCGUCCCGUCCGUGCGCUGCCUAGCCACCACAGCGCAGCGUGGUCUCCCGUUGCAAAGGAAGCAGGUGUUCCUCCAACUCGAUCUUCCUCCUCAUGUUCUGGAAUCGUGACAGAAACCGCUUCGCUUUCGACCAAAGUUGGCACGGUUAUUUCUCAGCAUGCAAAUUCAAGUCACAGUUUCCCCGAGUUGCCAAUAGACCAACUAGACAAGUCGCGCCGAUGGUGAUCUAGCUUCUUUUUUUUUUGCGAGGAAGAUGGUGAUCUAGCUGAUAAUCUGUUUGAUGAAGAGGUGCAUUAAUCAUUACACAAGAAAGCACAAAUCCUAGCUUCAACUAGUCGAUGCCACUCGCAGCAGCCCAUGGUGAGUCAGCCUAGUUCCAGGGUUCGCGUGUGGUUGCUCUGUUUCGUUCGCAGCUAUAGCAGUUUUUUUCCUCUGUGUUUUCUUAUUUUUGGUUUUCUGUUUCGGUUUGUUGGGUUUUUUUAUUUUCUAUUUUUAUGCUAGAUUUUUUUCCUGAUUUUUUUUCCUUUUUCACUUUCUCUUUUUUCAUAGUUUACUGUACUAUAACUUUUCCAAUAUACGGCCAACAUUUUUAAGAAUACGAGUUGAGCAUUUUUAAUAUAUGGUGAUCUUUUUUUCAAAUAUACACCGAGCAUGUUCCAAUGUGCGAUGAACAUUUUGUGAUAGACGGUGAACUUUCUUUUAAUACACGGUGAAAUUUUGUAAUACACAUUGGACUUUUUCAAAAUACACACUUGACAGUUUUUCACAUUUUUAGGUGCUUUUAUUUAGAUCCCUUCAACAAAUCCAACAAUUGGUUUAAAAAAACAAACAGAAAACCAAAGAGAGAGGAAAAAAAUGCAAAGCAAACCCGUGUACUGGAAUGCGCCAUAGUGGGCCUGUCCAUUAGCGACUCAUUUCAGGCGUUGCGUUCACUGUUGGAUGCCAACAAGAGAAGCGCUUUUGCCCCUCAAAAAAAGAAAGAGAAGCGCUUUUUCUAGCUUGUUACGAGACCGAACAACCUAGUGCUUAAUAAAUGGAAGGCCCACGUUCUGUUCUGCAUGUUUUUUUAUUAAUUUAUUUAUAUACAUUUCUAAAUGGAAAAUAUUUACUCAAUUUUAAAAAACUUUCAUAUCUCAUUUCGAAAAAAAUAUACCUUCAGCGUAAAAAUAUAUUAUAUUGCCGCAACUUGUAGAAAAAUGUUGCCACCAUUAAAAAUGUUCGUGAGUUUGAAAAAAAUGUUUGUGAUAUUUUCAGAAACUCGGCAUACAAUGUAAAAAAGGCACGCUUAAUGUAUAAAAAAUGUUUCAUACCACUAAAAAAAUAUUUGUAUCAUUUAAAAAAAUGUUAAUACAAUGUAAAAAAAAUCUUCGCUGAAUGUAGAAAAAAGAAUUUUUACAACUCAGAAAAAAUGUUCAAGAGAAUUAAAAAAAUGUUCGGAAUUUUCAAAAAUAUGUCCGUGCCCUGAAUGAAAGUUUAUACAAUGUAAGAAACUGUUCGCAUAAUUUAGGAAAUUGUUUCAUACAAUUUUUAAAAAAUGCUCAUGACAUUUGAAAAAAAAAUCACAAAUCUCAAAAAUAUAUUUUUGAUUCAAAAAAAGGUUAACACAACAAUAUAACAGUUUUUUGAGGGGUACAGAACAUUUUAUUGUUUUUGAGUAACUGACAAUACACGACGAUGCAGUUGCACUGUCAGUUACAUGGACUAAUGAACAACAAGAUGAAAUUGACCAUCCAGCAUUGGCAGGACGAGUUCUCCCAGUUAAUAUCUCAACAUUGGAUAGUAACAAAUUAAGCAAGUCUCAACAGAAGUGGCACGUGGGUGAGAAUUGUAUUGUAAUUGGGCAGGACAUUAGUUGGCAGCUCCAAGCUGAACUCGUACACUGGUAGGCGCAAUAUAGACUUGGAUCUUGCCUUGAUGCAGAAGAUGGAUUGGAAUCUUAAUACACAAGCGGUUGCAGUUCUUUUAGAUAAGGGAAGGAUAAAAUUCCCGGUCUCUCUGCACCUGAAGGUGCACACGAUCCAUCAUUACAAAGUCUCACAAGUUCGCAAAAGGAAAUAUAGGGAAAAAGCAGCAAGCAUACAACACACGAGAAUUCAAUACCUGUUUCGAACUUUUACCAUAAUCUGAUACCACAUGAUGCAACAAUCAUGGUAGUGGUACUGGUACAGAGGCAGGAACAGUGUAGAUGCCAAGAGCAUGUUUCCUCUGUCAAAAGAUCUUCUGUAUUUUUGGAGAGAACAGAUGAAAGAGGCUUCACAGGAACCUCGUAGCGAUCACGAAUGGCAGCAGCGAAAUGCAUGCUGCUCUCGAGCUCGGCCAUCAUCUUUGAAGCCUUCAGUAACGUGCCAACAAUAUUGUGCUUAUCAAUCACUUGGAUGUUUCGAUCAUGCUUCAUGAAUUCUUUAACCAUCUGGCAGGUAAGCUUCUGUAUCGCCAGGCAUGUAGGGGUGGCGUACAUGUUUUCAUCCACCAUCUUCUUGAGCGUCACCAGAAAAUCUUCCAGGGUGUCUGAUGGUGUCUGCAAAAGUAAGAUUCCUGCAAGAUUAAUACUGGUGUUUGCACAUAUGGUCACGACGAGUGAUAACAGUGCUGCCUGCAUCAUCCUGUUCUUGAUGUGGCACUUUAAAGUGGAAGCCUCAUCUUGAAGCAAUUGCCUGAGUGCCUGCAACGAUACGCAUACAUAUUACUUUAUUCUAAAAAAAAGUUAAGUGAGUGGCUGUGUGGAUGAACAAAUAGGGGCUCAAACCAGACACGCCCAGUCACUGACCGGGUGCGUCCGCAGGCGUUUGAGGGGUCGAAUUAGAGGUACAUGGCUGAAGAUGCUCUAACUGGUGAAAUACACCCUACACAAAACAUGCAAGUGUUCUACUUAUUUUUUGAACUGCGAAACAACAACCUCUUGUCUUUCUUGUACAUGACAAACAUGAUCAUAUUUGUUCAUGAAAUUUUGUAGGUGCUCGUAUUAUAACAAGAUGCAAGUCUACACUUUCUCUGAGAAUUAUUUUAAGAUUCAUAAUUAGAUAAAGAGAAAAGUUUAUUUUUGGUCCCUCAAAUUCUGAUGAAGUCUAGAUUUGAUCCCUCAACUUUAAAACCGGACAACUUGCACCCUUAACUACUGAAACCGUGCAAGAUUCAUUCCUGGUCAUGGUUUUGACCGGUUUUGGUGCUGUCCCACCCGGUUUUAACCAUGCUGACUCGAAUUCCCAUACCUUUUCCAAGUCCGCUUAAUCUUCCAAAAUUGGGGUACUUUUAUCAUAGACUUGAAUAUUUUAAAAAUUAGUAUAUCUUUUCAAUUCCGCGUAAUUUUUCCAAGUUCCUGUACUUUUUUUAAUCCAUGUACUUUUUAGAAAUUCAUGUAAUUUUCAUAGCCGCGUAUAUUUUUUUGGAAAGGGUUCAUGAAUUUGAAAUUUUUAUGCGGGCUUGAAAAAAGUACGCGGAUUUAGAUUUUUUGCGCAAAUUAGAAAAAAAUAUCUUGAUUUGAAAAAAUUAUCUCAACUUGAAACAAGUAUGUGAAUUUAAAAAAAGUUCAUGGAUUGAAAAUUUUAUGCGGGCUUGAAAAAAGUACACGGAUUUAGAUUUUUUACGCAAACUAGAAAAAAUAUCUUGAUUUGAAAAAAUAUCUCAACUUGAAAUAAGUACGCAAAUAUUAAAAUAGUUCACAUAUUUGAAGAAAGUAUGUUUACUUUUAAAAAAAAUUACACGACGUUGAAAUAACUAUGUGGAUUCGAAAAGAGUAUGUGAAUUUCAAAAAGUUCACGGAUAUGAAAAAAUUACGCGAAUUUGAGUCAGCACCAGUCAAAACCCGGGUGAGCUAGCACCAAAACCGGCCAAAACCGAGACCAAGGAUGAUCUUGUCCAGUUUCGGUAGUUUUUUUUUUAGAACGAAGACGCUAGAGACGUCCGACUUUAAAUUAAUAAAGCCCAUAAAUGAGGCAGCGUUUACAUAGGAGUCUAAGGAGAAACGGAAACGAGCGCGGAGGCUCAAGUCACACGGGCACGAAGGCACGUGAGUUUGGGACAGGCCAAAGGCCACAGGCAGUCCAGAGCGAGUCUAUUACAGGCCAGAGGCCAAGAGCUUAGAGCACACAGGCUCGCUCGCGAGACAAAAAACCACUUCACGACGUAGAAGUGGCGGUCGGCUCCCUAGCCAAAAUGUAGACUUGGUGAAGACGGUCUUGAGCUUGCUUCAAUCUCUCAGCAUCCUUGCGCCUCGCCAACGGGCUCCACUGCUGUAGAAGAAUGUUGCAUUUGUACAGAAUGUUAGCAGGGUGAGAAGGGAAGAUUCCUUCGAUUGCUAGUUUGUUCCUGGUGAGCCACAUGGCCCAUGCCAAGGCGCCUAGGCAGCUCCAGAGCACGCGCCUGCUGCCGCCAGUCAGCGAUGCAACUAUGGCCGCAAGGUCACCAGCCGAGAACGGGUCCCAAGAAGUGUUGGUGGCCUCCCGAACUGCACUCCAGACAAAACGCGCUAGAGGGCAGCGGAAAAACACGUGAUUUGCGUCCUCCGCGGUGUUGCAAAUUGCGCAUAAGCCCGUUGACGGUCCGUUGCGUUUGGCAACGUUAGCCGAAGCGGAAAGUCUAUUGCGGAAAAGUUGCCAAAAGAACACCUUGAUCUUAAGCGGAAUGCGCGCAUUCCACAGGCCCUUCGGCAUUGGGAAGGCCGGGCCCUGACCCAGGCACAGUCUGCGGUAUAGAGACUUGACCGUGAACUUGCCGGACGAGGUUAGGGCCCAAGUGACCGAGUCCGCCGUAGUGGACAGCGACACUGGCAGUUUCGGUAGUUGGGGGUACAAAUUGUCCGGUUUCGGAGUUGAAUGACCAAAUCUAGACUUCACCAAGAGUUGUGGGACGAAAAGUAUACUUUUCUCUUAGAUAAACCAUAAACUAAAGCUUCCAUCCUUGCAUGCACACUUUUUUCCCCCAAAAGUGUACUGCCGAAAACUUGUGGCAUGCAGCAGGUAAUCUCCGGCAUACCUUCCGUAAGGUUGGCAAUUUGACGUAGUUGCUCAAAUGCUUCAAGAUUAAUGCUGCGCUAAUACGAUAAUCAAUGUCGAUCUCUAUUUCCACUAUAUCUGUUGCACUUAUUUUGAAUUCAGUGGUCUUGAUAUUGCAGUCAAGCAAUUUUGUAAGACGAUGGAUAUCAUCAUCACAUACUGUGAAGCUCUUGAUAGCCUCUGGAUGAUUGGAUAGCAUUUCCAAUACAAAACCAGCAUAUUGUUUAAGCUGGUUUACAGUUUUCUUAGCUUCUUUCAUCACGUUCUUCUCAUAUUUCAAAUAAUCUUCCAACCAAUCUGUAGAAAGAAAUAUGUGCAGUGCUCUCUCAAUAAGUUUUCCUGCAGACGCACUUUCUGGAUGAUGCAAUGCUAAUCGUGUAAGAGCUUCUAAAGCUCCCGUCAGUAGCCAUAUGAUGCUGCUGUUACUCUUCAUGUCGAUGUCCAGAACGGCCUCCAGGUUUCUGACCACACGACUAGCAUUUGCAAUUAGACUUCGCAUCUCUUUGCCUGUGCUUCCUGGUGAACCCAUGAGCCGGGUCACCACUUUGAGUGAUACGUCUACUACCUUGGUCCAUGCAACACUACUCUUGAUAUCUUCUACAAAUUCAUUGGAGCUGAGAGGCGCAACUAUUUUUGAAAGAAGACCCUUGGUAUUGUAUAUCAUUGUGCAGUUAUGUCCAUCAUGAGCUAGGUUAUGCAGAAUUCUCAAGCCUGGUAAAACCAGAUCCUUAGUUCCUUGCCCAGCUUCAAAUGGUAAAUGGAUAGCAUCAAAGAGGGAGGAUACACAUUCCUAUGCUCCUGGAAAGUGAGCAAGGUUGAGGUCAGCAGCGAGAUGCUCCACAAUCCUCGGUGCAAGCCAUCUCGUCUCUUGCUCGGCUGGGCUUAUCCAUGCAAGGGUUCCGAUCAGCUUCUGAAUUCUUUGUUUCGGUGACCUGAUCAAGAGCCGUCUUAUCUGUAACGGUAUAUCAUGAUCAAUCAGCAUGGCUAGUACCCGUGCUCCAGCUGCAUAGUCAUUCAAACAUUGGGAAUCCAGCAAGUCAGCACCAUAUGUGAUCAAAUUCCAGCUCCUUAUGGAAGCGGGGUCAUUUAGACCCAUGUGCAUGGUUUUGCGCGAGUAUCCACGAAGUACAUGGCUGAAACCAUGGCGUUGGCUUAAAAUAUCAUUUAGCCAUCGCUCAACAAUGGCUGUACACAAUAAGAAUAUUGCGCCCUGAGCAAAGGAUACGCCGUAGAAUAAGUUCAGCGCCGGCUUCAGAUUUGCUUUACUUGCAUCUCCCUUGGCGAUGCCAUAAUCUUGCCUUCCUAAACGGAACAGCGACAGGCAAGAACAAAUAAUUGGUCCACCCACGCCGAAGUACACAGGGAAAAUAUCACGAUGAGAGUGAUAUCUAUUAUUUUUAAUUUGAGUAUAUGUAUUUGUCUCUUCAGCCAUUGUCUGAUAGGCAACUGGGUACGUUCACCAUGAUGCUUGUCUCCCCAGGAUACAAUGUUGCGUAGAAGAGAGUGAAACCAAACCCCAAAGAACAAAAACCGAUCUUCUCCCAAUGCGUCGAAUAGCCUGUUGUUUGAUCCAAUCAGAGCAGGACACGAUGUCAACAGGAUAAUUAAGAAUGUCUUCAAACAGAAACAAGAUGUCCAAUUUCGGGUAGGCCUUAUGGAAGUUACAUCUAUUUUAGAAAGCGAUAAAUGGGCCAAUGUUAACUGCCUGGAAUUUCAUGCGCCAGAAGCUACUUUUGGUUACUCUUUAUGACGACAAAGAGAUCUUAUUUUUGGCAGAGGACGUUCGUCGUUAGCUCUAUGUAUAAAGUUGACAUCUGAGCACGGGCACAUUAUGCCUGUUUUUUUGAAGUAAAAAAAAACAGAUUUUUACGGCUUGAAAAAAAAUUCAAUUUUUUUGUGUGCGAGCACGUAUAACUGCCCAAAAUUUCAGCAAUAUAUGUGCUUGCAUUUGAAAGGUACAAAAAGACAAAAUACAUGCAAAUUAGGGGCUUGUUUUUUGUUGUCGAAUUUUUGUCUUUCUUGUGCAGCACAUGGUACAACAUGGUAUUGAACGAAAUUUCACAGGUACUUAUAGACCACACGCAUGCAUAUUCAUGUAAAGAAGUCUUCUUUUUUUUCAAAUCUUUUGAGCACCUUUGNNNNNNNNNNNNNNNNNNNNNNNNNNNNNNNNNNNNNNNNNNNNNNNNNNNNNNNNNNNNNNNNNNNNNNNNNNNNNNNNNNNNNNNNNNNNNNNNNNNNNNNNNNNNNNNNNNNNNNNNNNNNNNNNNNNNNNNNNNNNNNNNNNNNNNNNNNNNNNNNNNNNNNNNNNNNNNNNNNNNNNNNNNNNNNNNNNNNNNNNNNNNNNNNNNNNNNNNNNNNNNNNNNNNNNNNNNNNNNNNNNNNNNNNNNNNNNNNNNNNNNNNNNNNNNNNNNNNNNNNNNNNNNNNNNNNNNNNNNNNNNNNNNNNNNNNNNNNNNNNNNNNNNNNNNNNNNNNNNNNNNNNNNNNNNNNNNNNNNNNNNNNNNNNNNNNNNNNNNNNNNNNNNNNNNNNNNNNNNNNNNNNNNNNNNNNNNNNNNNNNNNNNNNNNNNNNNNNNNNNNNNNNNNNACCAGAUGAAUGAAAGAUAUACAAGACGCUAAUUCGACAAAUCAGGAAUUAUCAAAGAGAGGCGAAUUUAAUUUAUGUCACACGCUUAACAUGUACAGUAAGAAGAGAGCUGGAUAGCAAGCACUCACCCGGCAGCCUGCAUGAAUGCGAUGAUGGUCAGAUAGUGGAAAUCUACGUUCCUCGGAUCGGAGACGAAGCCGCCAAGAAGGACGACGGCACACUGGCCUUUCAGGCCAAUACGAAUGUACGCCACGACGACUGCAUACUUGUUAAUGGUCCUUGUUAGACUUAAACAUGAAUUAGUACACGGCAGGUGUACGUGGUCUUGUAGGAUUCCUAGUCCAACUAGGAUUAGUAGUCCUGACCGACCCGGUCAUGUAGGUAGCUAGUCUAGUCUAGUAUAUAUACAUGUACCAUGUACCUGGUCCCUGUAAUCUAACACAUCGAAGCAAUAAAGAAGUAGCAGGAACAACACGUUCCUCUUGCUAUCAAUCUAGUGACUUGUGUGCAUGCGUGCAUCUUGUGUUUCGUCCGGAAUCAAUCAAGUAGAUUGGAGGCUUAGCUUGUACGUGCACAUCGCAGGCUACGGUGUCAAUCGAUCAAGGAACGGUCGAGCCAGCUUGGGGCAGAAACCAAGACAGUUAGCUUCGCUUCGUCUUCAUCGUCGUUCAUUGUCGGUCGUUGCCGUCGCCAGGGCGUCGGGUCUAGGCCAACAAUUGAUAGCAGAGCUCCUCUGUGAGAGAGAGAGAGAGCGUCAAGCCACUCUCCUCCCAUGCCUUGGAUCUGCAAUGUGGUUUCCAAAUGAUCUGCGUACUCCAGUAGAAAAAUUCCUCCGUGGUAUGGUAAUGGUGGUGGUGUGGUGGAGCGGCAGUUUCCUCCAUGUGGUAUGAUCGUUGCUGGCAUGGGCAACAGGCUGACCAAUGAACUGCGAGCUGUGUUGUGGGCCUCCGCUGCUGACAACAAUGACGAAGAUGUCGAAGAGGAGUUGGCCCCCCAGACGCCGCCGACUGUCACCAAAGCCCUCGACUCCGAAGGGAUUUGCAUGGGCCAUGACACAGACACAAGUGAGGGUUGGCAGGAGGUGCUACCGCGGCGCGGCCCGCGUCGUUCGACUUCGUCGCCAUCCUCGAUGAUGGCUCCUCGUCCUCCUCGUCCCAUCCCUGCUUGGCUCCAUGGUAGAUGCUGUAGAUGCCUUGCUUAUGGGCAUCGUGCGGUUGUUUGCAGAGAUCCGUUGCGGUGCUCCCGUUGUUUGGAGAAUGGUCAUCGUGCGCGUGAAUGUCGCAACCCCUGGCGUCCUCUAAGCUCAUUAUCAUGCCUUGAUGUGCCGCAUGUGUCCCGCCUCGGCACCGUGCAUCGUGUUGCUCCUGCUUCAUGUGAGGGUUCGGUGAGAUCCACACCCCCUUCGAAGGCGCUUCACCGUGGGUCUUGGGCAUCUGUUGCCUCUGUUGCUGCUGGCUCGGCAACCCCGUCCGAGCUGAUGUUGCAGUCCGCUCUGGCUAAUCAGACUGCACUGUUGCAAGGUUGUGUGGCGCGGGUUCAGAGCUUUCUGGAGCGAGCGGAGGUUGCUCUGGGUAGACUAUCCCUUGUGCCGGCUCUGUUGCAGACCACUCUGACGUCACAUUCUCCUUGUGUGGCCGGUGUUUGCUCCGUGGAAGACAGGGGUGAGAAGUUGUAUGGAUCUUUCUCCCCUCGUGUUGGAGUCCAUUCAUCGUCGGUGCCUACCUCCCCUCCUAUGGUGUCUUCCAUUGAGGGCGAGUCCAUCGCCGUACUUGUGACUCCGGUGCUGCAGAUCAUGCUUGAGCUUAGGGAGCUAUGCCUGAGUCUAUCAGUGGAGCAUACGAAGGUGGACAUGUCGGCGGCCUCGAUUGAAGGACAAGUUUCGCCUUUGUCAAGUGAGCAGUUGGAGGUUUCUUUGGUUGAUGAUGCUAAAGGGAAGGCAGCUGCAAUUUCAUGAUUGGUAGUGCUCAGUGUUUCGCGUUGUCCACGUGGCUUUGGUCUUUUGAGUCGUAGAAGUGGCUGUGGUUUAGUGUGUGUUGGGAGCAUUUGGUGGACCGUCUACGUGGUCGUGAGAGUGAGUCGCUUCUGGAGUGUCACUUUUGUAGUGUUUGUAUCGGUUUUCGCCCGGUUUUCCUAAAUUAACCGGGCAAUUCUCUUCUUCUUAAUUAAUCGAUG